rnacentral:rRNA from 1 species
AUUGAACGCUGGCGGCAGGCCUAACACAUGCAAGUCGAACGGUAACAGGAAGCAGCUUGCUGCUUUGCUGACGAGUGGCGGACGGGUGAGUAAUGUCUGGGAAACUGCCUGAUGGAGGGGGAUAACUACUGGAAACGGUAGCUAAUACCGCAUAACGUCGCAAGACCAAAGAGGGGGACCUUCGGGCCUCUUGCCAUCGGAUGUGCCCAGAUGGGAUUAGCUAGUAGGUGGGGUAACGGCUCACCUAGGCGACGAUCCCUAGCUGGUUUGAGAGGAUGACCAGCCACACUGGAACUGAGACACGGUCCAGACUCCUACGGGAGGCAGCAGUGGGGAAUAUUGCACAAUGGGCGCAAGCCUGAUGCAGCCAUGCCGCGUGUAUGAAGAAGGCCUUCGGGUUGUAAAGUACUUUCAGCGGGGAGGAAGGGAGUAAAGUUAAUACCUUUGCUCAUUG